UGUUUUAUUUCUACAAUUUCCAAAAGAUAACCAAACAAAACAUAAUUACUUUUACGAGAUGUAUUUGUGCAGUAGUAGCACAAUUUCGAACCUUUUUGCAUUCGUUUUUACUUACACUCGUAUGUUGACUUAUCCAUAUUGACGUUGAGGUUUUAAAUUUCGGCAGAUUUUUCUUAGCGAUCAUCGCAAAUUGAAUUAAUGGGGCGUUUCAGGCCCCGAAGUGAACAUAAUUGUACACUCGCAAACUCGAUCAAAAAUGAGGGCUGAGGGGCUUACGUUGCAAACCUCCCUUGUUUGGCUAAUCGUUUGGACCUUUUGUCCAAGAUGGUGACGGGGCUUCCCACAAGGGCAUAAGGCGAGGGCCCUCCCAGUCAACACCACCUCAUAUGACUGCCUGCUGCAGUUGUUCGAGAGAUGUCCAGUCUGCAGCCGAACAUGCAGCAUAAAGAAGACCAGCAAGGGGCCCCUCGUCCGGCCAGCAACCUUCACCUGUCAGCAGCAACAGCUUUCAUAAGCUCAUCAUUUGUACAAAUACAGAAGCAUUUUUGAUGAGGGGCCAGGAGCUGAUCUACGCUGCUAUACCCAUCAAUGGGGCUCUGGCAAAGACCUCACCUCCAGCCUCACCUCUUGCCGGUCGUCGAUGGGGAGAACAAAAUAUGCAUGAGUUGCAGAGAGACCUGGCGCUCAACACAUCCACAAUGAGAAACAUGUAUGGAGCCAGCACAUGGAGACUUGCAAG